GAAAGCUGGAGCUGUGUCGGGAAGCGAGAGACGAGAGACAGAAGGAGGAAGCUUGCAGAGAGCAGGGGAAAGAGGGAAGGAGGGAGCGAUUAGGGAAACAACCGAUAAACGGGCGGCGGCGAAGGUGGCUGGGGACGCGGCGCAGCGGUCGCUUUCCAAAAGCGAAAGGAUCCAGGCUGCGAAGAAGAUCGCCAUGGGGGAAUAACGCGUCUGCCGAUGUCGGCUGUUAGCAAGUGAAGGGCUUGGGAGAGGCGGUGGAAGGAGCCCCCGAUCCCGCAGCCGGGUUGCAAAGAGCCCGGACAGCGGGGGCUCGCGGCUUGGACGGCUGUUGGGCUGGGAAGGAAGAAGCGGGCUGAGAAGCGGCGACAUCCACACACAGUGUGCCGCUGCAGGCUUUGGUCAUGCCCUUCGCCAAGAGGAUCGUGAAGCCCCAGAGGCUGUGCCGGCGGCAGCACAUCGCCUCGGUGCUAAACGAGAACGCCGGAUUCGAGCUUCCUCAGCCAGCGAGCUACGGAGAAGAGCCCGGGGAGGCGAUGGACGAGCCGGAGGAAGAGGUUCCGGCUGGGCUGGCUGCCGCGCUGCCCGCCGAGGGAAAGGAGAACCAGGAGACGGCGGCGCUGAUGCUUUUGGAUCUGUGCUCGGUCAGCAAUGUGGCUCUCUCGCGGAUCCUCCGGCAACUCUCCGAUGUGGCCAAGCACGCCUGCACCCUUUUCCAAGAAAUCGAGAGCGAGAUCCAGCUCACUCACCGCAGGGUUCAGGCGCUGCACAGCCGGAUUGGCGGCGUCCAAACCAUUUUACACAGUUUGGAUCCCAAGCAGGAGGCAGUGCCUGUUUCAAACUUGGAUGCAGAAAGCAAACUGAAUGUGUAUUAUCAUGCCCCUUGGCAUCAGGAGAGAAACAUUUUUCUUCCUUCCACCAGACCAGCAUGUGUAGAAGAGCUGCAUCACCAUGCCAAGCAGAAUUUGAGAGCCUUGAGGAAGGAGCACCGAAACCAGGGUAAUAACCGAGAACAAAAAAAUGUGAGCCAAACUAUAGUAGCUCCCCCAUUUCCGUCUUUUCCUGUGAUCCACACUAAGAAGCAAAAAGAGAUUAAGGACCAUCACUUGCUAAAAUUUUAUAGAACCCGCUCGUCUUCCCCUACUGAGUGUUGCCACAUGACCCCAUGGAGUAAAAAGUCCCACCACCCUUCGGAGGAAGAAGAUACAGAUAUCAUGUUAGGGCAGAGGCCGAAAAAUCCAGUACAUAAUAUACCUUCUACACUGGAUAAACAAACAAAUUGGAGCAAAGCACUACCCCUCCCAACUCCAGAGGAGAAAAUGAAACAAGAUGCCCAAGUGAUUUCCUCUUGUAUUAUCCCCAUCAACGUCACUGGAGUUGGUUUUGACCGAGAAGCUAGUAUACGCUGUUCACUUGUUCACUCCCAAUCCGUACUGCAGCGAAGACGGAAACUGAGAAGGAGAAAAACCAUCUCUGGUAUCCCCAGAAGAGUCCAACAAGAAAUAGAUUCUGAUGAAUCACCAGUAGCAAGAGAACGGAAUGUCAUUGUGCAUGCAAAUCCAGACUUCUCUAAUAACAUCAACAGGAGAUCAGGUACCCGAGACUCUGAGUGCCAAACAGAAGAUAUUCUCAUUGCUGCCCCAUCCCGGAGAAGAAUACGUGCUCAGAGGGGUCAAAGUGCAGUAGCUUCACUGUCUCAUUCAGCUGGCAACAUAUUGGUGCUGACAGAUAAUGGUGACUCUAUGUUUACAUCUGUGAGCAAUCGUGUUCGAUCAAGGAGUCUUCCUCGUGAAGGUGCUAGAGCCAAUGAAAAAGACCACAACAAUGGUGCCAAAAUUUCAGCAUAUGAGGCAGAACACUUUUUAACAAAUCAAGAACGAAUUUCCACAAAGAAUAAGGAUGCUAUUAAUAACCAUUGUUCACAAGAACACCAUCCCAGGGGUUUAGCUUGUUCCCAGCAUUUUCAUAGUCCAGAUCAUAACUCAAAUGAAAGAGGGAGAUCAAGGUUUUCAAGGAUAGUAGAUUCUGGAAGUUGUGAUAUUUCUUCAAACUCUGAUACCUUUGGAAGUCCAAUUCACUCUAUCUCCACAGCUGGGGUUCUUCUCAGCAGUCACAUGGACCAGAAAGAUGAACAUCAAUCAUCCAGUGGAAACUGGAGUGGAAGUAGCUCAACAUGUCCUUCCCAAACAUCUGAAACAAUUCCUCCUGCUGCUUCACCUCCACUGACAGGUUCUUCACACUGUGAUUCAGAAUUAUCACUGAACAUUGCCUCUAAUGUUAAUGAAGAUUCAAGUAUUUUCAUAAUUGAACACUACAGUGAACAUAAAAUUAGAGGUCACAGGGCAAGUUCUUUCACUUCUGAUCUUCUAGAUGACCCUAACAAUAGCAACACAAGUGACAGUGAGUGGAAUUAUUUGCAUCAUCAUCAUGAUGCAUCCUGCCAUCAAGAUUUCAGCCCCGAACAUCCCAAGACUGAUAGUCUGGGCUGUCCAAGUUUUACUAGCAUGGCCACUUAUGACAGUUUUGUAGAGAAGACUCCAUUGGAUAAAGCAGAGACUAGUUCACAUUUUUCAGUUGAUACUGAAGGCUACUAUACCUCCAUGCACUUUGACUGUGGACUCAAAGGAGAUAAAAGUUAUAUUUGUAACUAUGCAGCUGUGGGCUCUGAAAAUUGCCAGAAUGCAAGUUUUGCUUCCAAUCUCACUCACUGUAAUUGGCAAAAUUAUAUGGAUCAUAGGAAGCAAGGAAAAGCAGGCAUUUCUCUAAAGAAACCAAAGGCGAAGCCAGCCCCACCAAAACGCAGUUCAUCUUUAAGGAAAUCUGACACUAGAACAGAUAUUUUGGAGAAAAAAGAACCAAAGAUAAAUAGUGGGCAGCAACAUAUGCCUCAUACUUCCAGGGAAAUGAAGCUGCCCCUCGAGUUUGCAAACACACCUUCAAGGGUAGAAAGUACUCGCCUGCCAAGUAAACAGAAACCUUCCUGGCAUAAUCAGGAUGAGAAUGAUGUAAAGGGCCUCCCUUUUGAUUCCAUGGACAUUGCAUCAUUUAAAGAUGAAGGUGCUGAACAAUCUCACUAUGCAGAUCUCUGGCUUCUAAAUGACUUGAAAUCUAAUGAUCCCUAUAGAUCUUUAUCUAAUUCAAGCACUGCUACGGGUACUACAGUCGUAGAAUGCAUAAAGUCACCAGAAGGUUCUGAAUCUCAAACAUCACAGUCUGGAUCAAGAGCCACCACUCCUUCUCUUCCUUCUGCUGAGAAUGAGUUUAAGUUGGCAUCCCCAGAAAAACUGGCUGGUUUAGCUUCUCCUUCAAGUGGCUAUUCCAGUCAGUCAGAAACCCCAACAUCAUCAUUUCCAACAGCAUUUUUUUCUGGUCCCCUAUCCCCAGGAGGGAAUAAAAGAAAGCCAAAAGUACCAGAAAGGAAAUCCUCAUUACAACAAUCUUCUUCUAAAGAUGGCAACAUAUUUUUAAACAAAGAUUUAGAACUUCCGGUUAUACCUCCUACUCAUCUUGACCUAAGUGCUCUUCAUAAUGUUUUGAUUAAACCAUAUGCUCCCAGACCCCAGCUACAUGCUUUUAACAAUAAUAAAUCAAAUAUGAUAGAAGAAGUAAUGAAUUCUAAUUCUUCACCAGCUCUUGCUAUUACACCUUCCGUGCUGAAGUCAGUACAUCUUCGAUCAAUUAAUAAGCCUGAAGAAAAGAAACAGAAAGACAAUCCAGAUUUUCUACCCAUUCAAGAACAUAGUUUGGUAACUGCUAUUUCUUCAUGCAAAAUGAAACCACGCCUGAGUAAAAAACAAGUGUCACAUCAGUUCUUCAUGGAAGAUGCCAUAGUGUCUUAUAUCAAUCCCUCCCCAGUACAGAUAAGCCCAGAACAACUACUAGGAGAAGAUAUUUUAACCUUUACUGAAAGAAAUAUAUGUCAAGAGAAUCUAAACUCAUUUCUAGAGAGUGUUCCAGCAGCUAAGAGUGUACCAGAUCAAAUACAUUCAGUACAAGGGAUUUUGCUAGAACAUACAACUAAUAAAGCUUGUGGGUUUUCUGAAUUUCCACAAGGCACAACAAUUUUUCCAAGCAAUCUUGAAGGCAAAAUUACUUGUGGAUCAGAACAGAAUAAGAGUAUUAACCCCGUGCAGUCUCCAUAUGAAUUACCUGCACACUGUGAACAAAAGUCAAAAUAUGAACCACUACAUGAAGAUAUUCCUCGGUCUGACUCCUUAACUUGGGGAGCAGAUACUUGUUAUCAGCUGAAGCAUCAGCUUGAUAUAAGCCAACUUGAUGACAAAGUGCCUGAGAAUAUCAAUUAUCAACCAGAAAUCUCAAAUAUAGAUUCACUAAGUGAAAAAUGCUCUGAAAAUGAUAUCAUGUCAGGUAUUGCAACCAAAAGUGCCUCAGAUGACAGUGAUAGCAGAGCAGCUGAGACACAAGAAACUACAGAAGAUGAUACCUUAAAAGAAUCUUUUGUGAGUGAUGAUUCUAUAAUCUCACCCAUAAAUGAGGACUCUCAAAUUGAAGUAGAAGAAGAGUUUUUGAUGUCUCCAAAUAAACCGCGAACAACAGAGGAUCUGUUUGCAGUAAUUCACCGGUCAAAAAGGAAAGUGCUUGGAAGAAAGGAUUCUGGAGACCUUUCUUCAAGGAACAGACUGAAAGCUUCAUCUAGUAGUAGUAGUGUGUCUUCUGUCAGCAGCACCUCACCUGCAACUAAUAUUCCCCUCACUCCUACCAGUGUGGGAAGUCCAGCAUGCAGCCACAGGUCUCCUGGACUUAUUUAUCGGAAUGCCAAAAAGUCCAGUACCUCAAAUGAGGAAUUUAAACUACUGCUCUUGAAAAAAGGUAGUCGGUCUGAUUCUAGCUAUAGGAUGUCAGCCACUGAGAUACUAAAGAGCCCUAUUUCUCCCAAAUCUCCCGGAGAACUAAUUGGGGAUACUCUUCAAACUGCAGAUGAACCCUUUCAAGCCUCAUCAAGAGCUGAGGCAUUAGCUCCUCUCCCUCCUUGUCCCCCAAGGAUAAACGUAGAAGGGUUUUCUUCCAAAAGUUUUCCCACAUCAGCAUCUUCACGUGUAGGACGAUCACGAGCACCUCCAACUGCAAGCAGUAGCCGAUACAGUGUUCGCUGUCGAUUAUAUAACACCCCAAUGCAAGCCAUUUCAGAAGGAGAGACAGAGAAUUCAGAUGGGAGCCCACAUGAUGAUCGUUCUUCUCAAAGCUCAACAUAAGUUGCCUAAGGGUCUGAGCACAAUUCUGACUGUUAAAUGGGGGAACUCUGCAUUUUCUAAACUCAUUUCACUUUAAAAAGCCUAUUCUGUAGCAGUCAAAUACCUUAAAAGGCAAUAUGUGAUGCUUGAAAAUGUUAAAGAAUGCUGAAAGAUGGGAUUAAAUGAUCUGUAGGUAUUUAUUAUGACCCAUUUUCUAUGACUAGAAAUAUAUGGUUAACUUUUAAUUCCCCCUCCCCCCAUUCUUCUUUCCACCGUCAAUGUAAAUUUAUCCAGUUUUCUAUAUUCCUUUUUUCUUUCCAGAAACAUUACAUUACUUUUAUGCUUCCCUAGGAGUGGCAAACAUAAAAUUGGUUUGCUGUGAGGGUCAAAUGGGAAAGCUGCCUAGAAGAAAGUUGUGUAGGCUACAAAGGUGAUUAAAUAGUGUGAUUAAUAUUUAUCUUAUGUGCAAGUUAUUGAAGAACAAUAAAAUAUACUGUUUUCUAAUUCCUUAGGUAAACACAUAAUUGUCACUUUGUCCAUCAUCUUGUAGAUUUAAUAAUUAAGUGUUUCAGUUCUAACAAAGAACUACAAUUCCCAGAGUUCUUAGGGGAAGCCAUAUCCAAUGAACAGAUAUGAACGCUAUUGUGCCACCAUAACUAUUAGCAUUGGUGUUUGGAAUGAAAAACACAUGUAAAAAGGACAGCAGAAAUAACAUUUUUUAAAAACCUCCUUUAAAAAAAAUGUUAGGUAUCCAGCUUUUUCUAUGACAUUUGGCACUAAAUAUGGCCAGUGAUUAUAGUUGUUUCAUACUACUAUUACAACUAGAUUGUUGGGAAACCUAGCAAUGCUCUGAUAAAUAAAACAAAAUUAAUUUCAUGUUCAUAGCUAAGUAACUAUUAAGCAUGCAACAAAUGCUAUUGAUUCACGAAUAAACUGUACAAUAAUAAUGCAAUGAAGCUUUGUAUGGACAAUAUUCAUCCUAACUGAAUAUUUAUGAAAACGACACUGUAAAAAAAUAAGAACUAGGCAUAUGUAUGCAUCCUUUAUACAUCUUAUAAACAUGGAAUGGAGAAAGUCUCUGAUUCAUAUUGCUCAGUUACUUUCUAUCUAGAUUUUACUAAAAAUGUUUACAGGAAAGGAGUCCAUAGUAGAUGGGGUACAGAAGAAAUCAGAGCAAAUAUUAUGACUACCAGUAAAUGAAAGCAGGGGAAAGCUGGAUUACUUGAAGUUGCUUGAAGUUUUUUGUUAGAAGACCAAAAGCAAAAGCAUGCUGAUGGAUCAAAUUACAGUAGAGAUUUUUAAAAGUCAUUCCAAAUAUAAUAUUUUCCCAAGAUACAACCCAUCCAUUUGCCAUGUGUAACCUGUUCUAAAAUGAAUUAUUUGAAUCGGGUUGUAAAAUACAGUUUAUCAAACUGGAGAACUAAUUAAAGCAGAACUUAGAAAGAAAGAUUUUGACACUAUUUCGAGAUGAAAUGUAUUCUCAAAUUCUGACUAAGUAUAGUAACUGAUUUAAGUACCAUAUUUUUCGGAGUAUAAGACUCACCUUUUUCCCUCAAAAAAGAAGCUGAAAAUCUGGG